rnacentral:lncRNA from 1 species
UGGGGUUAUGGGGUUAUUAAUGGGGUUAUGGGAUUAUUAAUGGGGUUAUGGGGUUAUUAAUGGGAUUAUGGGGUUAUUAAUGGGGUUAUGGGGUUAUUAAUGGGGUUAUGGGGUUAUUAAUGGGGUUAUUAAUGGGAUUAUGGGAUUAUUAAUGGGAUUAUGGGGUUAUUAAUGGGGUUAUGAGGUUAUUAAUGGGGUUAUGAGGUUAUUAAUGGGGUUAUGGGGUUAUUAAUGGGGUUAAUGGGGUUAUUAAUGGGAUUAUGGGGUUAUUAAUGGGGUUAUGGGAUUAUUAAUGGGAUUAUGGGGUUAUCAAUGGGAUUAUGGCCCUAUUAAUGGGAUUAUGGGAUUAUUAAUGGGGUUAUGGGGUUAUUGAUGGGAUUAUGACCCUAUUAAUGGGAUUAUGGCCCUAUUAACAGGAUUAUCAAUGGGAUUAUGGGAUUAUCAAUGGGAUUAUGACCCUAUUAACGGGAUUAUCAAUGGGAUUAUGGCCCUAUUAAUGGGAUU